CCUACGGGGAGCAGCAGUGGGGAAUAUUGGACAAUGGGCGAAAGCCUGAUCCAGCCAUGCCGCGUGUGUGAAGAAGGCCUUCGGGUUGUAAAGCACUUUCAGUGGGGAAGAAAGCCUUGGGGCUAAUACCCUCGAGGAAGGACAUCACCCACAGAAGAAGCACCGGCUAACUCCGUGCCAGCAGCCGCGGUAAUACGGAGGGUGCGAGCGUUAAUCGGAAUUACUGGGCGUAAAGCGCGCGUAGGCGGUCUGAUAAGCCGGUUGUGAAAGCCCCGGGCUCAACCUGGGAACGGCAUCCGGAACUGUCAGGCUAGAGGGCAGGAGAGGAAGGUAGAAUUCCCGGUGUAGCGGUGAAAUGCGUAGAGAUCGGGAGGAAUACCAGUGGCGAAGGCGGCCUUCUGGACUGACACUGACGCUGAGGUGCGAAAGCGUGGGUAGCAAACAGGAUUAGAUACCCUGGUAGUC
rnacentral:rRNA from 1 species